rnacentral:lncRNA from 1 species
CAAAUUGGAAACUGGUCCUUGAAUGAACUAGUAAAUUGAUGAAUGUUUCACCUUUCUUUCAAAUAGGAGCUAUUAGCUAUUCUUGAAUUUUUAUUUUCUUUUAUUCUUUGUUUUUUACUAGAAUAUUCUAAAAUUUUCCUUUUCUGUUUAGUUUACUAGAAAAACUGUAAGACUAAAUAUUAGCAAGUAAGAGUGUAGUACAGUUUCAUUUUAAAAAUUUAUCCUAAUGAUUGGUCAGUCAUCUGGGUAAUGAGGAUUGGUCAGUUGUAAUUCAUUUAAAAAAUGACUGCUCUUCAAGUCAUGGGGGACUGAUUAUUUAGAAUAACAUUCUUACCAAAAUUAAUUGAUAAAGCUGUACAAAAUUCAAUUUUUAUAAACAUCAAUGAGCUAACGACAUAAUGAAGAAAAUACACAUGGGGAAAGGUGGUAAGUAUUG